rnacentral:rRNA from 1 species
CCCUUAGAUGUUCUGGGCCGCACGCGCGCUACACUGACUGGUUCAUCGAGUAUACAACCUUGACUGAUAGGUCUGGGUAAUCUUCUCAAAGCCAGUCGUGCUGGGGAUAGAUUAUUGUAAUUUUUAAUCUUCAACGAGGAAUUCCUAGUAAACGCGAGUCAUCAGCUCGCAUUGAUUACGUCCCUGCCCUUUGUACACACCGCCCGUCGCACCUACCGAUUGAAUGGUUCGGUGAAGAUCUCGGACUUCGAUAUUUGUUCUUCAUUGAACUUAUAUAGUGGGAAGUUAUCUGAACCUCAUCAUUUAGAGGAAGGUGAAGUCGUAACA